GCCGUGGGUCUCCUGCCCCCUCGCGGCGGCGUGGAGCGCGGCGGGAGAGACUGUGACGGUGCAAGGCGGGCUUGAGGGGGUAGUGCACCGUAUAAGGGCAAGAAUCGCGCAGGUUUGGAGAGAGAAUAGAGUCAUGUCCCAGAGACAGUGGGUAGGCCGAUGCCUGUUCAGUUUUUCGGAGACUUUGGUCUCAGCAAAAACAUACUCUUCACGUUAAAUGAGAGUUAACUGAGAAACUGUUGAUGAUCUUUUGGGUAGAGAUUGGGUCCGGCUUUGAACUCAUGAAGACUCCUCCUGUACUGGGAUUCCAAAAUCUUCUUGCGGUCCUUGUCCAGCUUUAUCCUGGUGAUAACCACCUUGCUGGGGUGGAUGACCACGUAGACAGUUUGCCAUUAGCCUUUUCUCGCUGCACCCGUUCAGUGUAGCUGACAUAUUGCUUCCCGUACACUUGAACCACUGCCAAUCUGCUGGCCUUUGUACUGCCCUCAGACAGCCUGAGCUUCACCAUCCUUUCGAAUGGGCACAGAUCGAACACUGCACUUCUGUCUCAGCUCUUUGGAAAGGGGGAGAGACACGAUCUUCCUCCGAACGUGAGAAGGUGUACCGAAACGCCGUUUACCGUACUUGCUUCAGUCAGAAGUCACAACGGGAUCGAACUUCAUUUUGGCGGCUGCAAUCCAGCGAUGGCUGCAAAAGGAAAGAGGAGGAAGAAAAUAAAGCUUUUUUGUUUUCUUGAGAUGACUGCACGUACAGCUGAAGUGCCAGUCCCGAUGACAUUGUAGCUGCUAAGCCCCUGCAGGCAGAAGAGUCGGAAUGAGAGUCUGUGUUCCUGACUCCCCCAUCAUGCUGCAGGUGGAGAUGGGAAGGAAGAUCAUUGUAGUGACUGAAGAAUCCAAGGAUAAGAAUAUAGAAAUGCAGAUUCCAGAAUUAAGAGUUUAAAGAUAAAUAAAUAUAAAGCAAGCCUAGGAAAAUGAGAGCAGGCUGCCAACAACUUAAGGAUUAACUAUUAACAGUGGGUUACUCUGCUUUACAAUCCACAGCUCUGUCUGCAAGGCUGAUGGGGCCCUCUGUAAACUGAGUCCCUCUGCAAACGGCGGGUCAGCUUUUAGAGAACCCCCUGGCCACUCAUGACCAGCAACUGAUGUGAGCUGAGUUAACUUUUCAAUGAUGGGAUGUUCCUGACUUUUUGGUCAUGCAUUGUCCCAUACCCUACCCUGCCACACAAAGUCGGCAGUAUCAGGGGAGUGUAGAGAUUUGGUGAACUCCAUCAGAAAGUGCCGGAGAGAAAUAAUGAACUAAAUACAAUCACGAGUUUAACUAAAAAUCCCUGUUAAUGGAAGUUAUUAAAAAAAGCAUUUGUAUCUGAGUUUUACCUUGAGAUUGUAAAAAUUCUUUUGUUCAUGCCUAAUGCUUACUUCUUGCUAUAAACAGCCCAUGGUCACAACCGCACAAGUCCAUCUCUGGCUGUGGUCACAGCUAGCUGAUAAGCUUUUUGUGCUCCAUGGAGAUUUUAUUUUUGUGUCCCAUGGAGAUUUUAGUUUUUUCUUUUUCCUGGAAUAAAGUUUGCUCCUGGUUUAUAAGACUUUGGUGGUCUGUCCCCCAUCUUUGCGGGACCCUCGUGGGCCCAACAUUGAUAACUGGUGAUUCUUAGUCUCUUGAUGGAUUUGCUGUGCAAACUUUCAGAUAUAGUGUGUCCUGUUUACCUUGGAGCCAAUCCCCAAAACCCUGACUGAACAUUUGACAGUUUUAUACCCUGGUCUUCAGAACUCAUUUUGCCAGUAUGACAAUCAAUCUUCUGUUGAAAUAAGGGAACUACGGGCCGGGCAGUGGUGGCACACUCCUUUAAUCCCAGCACUCGAGAGGCAGAGACAGGCAGAUCU